UCAUAGCGCGACAUCUAUCUUCAUUGGUGUAGGAUGUAUUAAUUGAAGGCUACAAUGAACCAGAAUAUGGCCAGUGUUAUAAAGGGAUUAAUUGCUGGUUCACUUUUAUGUUUUUAUUUUUAUGAAAUACAGGCCAGUAGCCAUGUUUGUACAGCACAAGAAUCUUACCAAGAGAGUUACACUACAAACUGUGGAUUUUUUGGUUGGAGUGGAUGCACAAGAUAUAGAACAAAAUACAGGACUAGAAGUUUUUGUUGCACUGGGUGGAGAUCGGUUGGUUCCGAUUUGGCGUGUGAUCAUGCUAUAUGUGAUAACAAGAUUGACCCAUCAGCUUGUGAUAACUAUUUCCCCAACUCCCAUAUAAAAUAUAGUGAUGGUAGUAUUCAAAGAUAUAUAUAUGGUACAUGUCCAAAUCCUGAACAAUGUAGCUGUUCAAAAGAUGGUUUCUAUUCGGCUGGCCCCACAUGUGAGAUGUGCUCAGCUAUUACAAAUUGUGAUCUGGAAACGUGUACAUCAUCAUCAAACCAGAGGUGUUCUAGAUGUGAAGGAGUACGAGAUGAAAAACCUGGCUUUAGAGCUUAUGUUGUUUCCAGUGAUAAAAAACGUUGUACAAAGGCGUGUUCCUGGCGAUCUGAUAGUACUCCAUGUUAUCCCGGAAGCUGUGCUAAUGAACUGGCAUCAGAUUGUAUAUGUACGUCAGAAUUUACGGGAUCAAAAUGCGAUAAAAUAACCAAUAGGCCGUCUAUAAAAGAGAAUAUACUAAGUCUGACAGCCAACAAUGGCGGUAAAACUGAUGCACCAGGAAAUACAAAUACUGGACCAGUUCAAGAUACUGUAUGGACUAAUAUGGUUAAUCCUGUUAAUAUUCACUUUAGAUUUACUGCAGAUUACCACCCAGUUGUGCCUUCUCGACAGGUGUAUGUCAAGGAUUUUAAAGUUGGCAUUAUUAGUG